rnacentral:rRNA from 1 species
GAUGAACGCUGGCGGCGUGCCUAAUACAUGCAAGUCGAGCGAACAGACGAGGAGCUUGCUCCUCUGACGUUAGCGGCGGACGGGUGAGCAACACGUGGAUAACCUACCUAUAAGACUGGGAUAACUUCGGGAAACCGGAGCUAAUACCGGAUAAUAUAUUGAACCGCAUGGUUCAAUAGUGAAAGACGGUUUUGCUGUCACUUAUAGAUGGAUCCGCGCCGCAUUAGCUAGUUGGUAAGGUAACGGCUUACCAAGGCAACGAUGCGUAGCCGACCUGAGAGGGAGAUCGGCCACACUGGAACUGAGACACGGUCCAGACUCCUACGGGAGGCAGCAGUAGGGAAUCUUCCGCAAUGGGCGAAAGCCUGACGGAGCAACGCCGCGUGAGUGAUGAAGGUCUUCGGAUCGUAAAACUCUGUUAUUAGGGAAGAACAAAUGUGUAAGUAACUAUGCACGUCUUGACGGUACCUAAUCAGAAAGCCACGGCUAACUACGUG